GUUGUUCCUCCUAAGCUCAUUACACCUGCGCAUGGCAUUACAACUACUCUCGAACCCCUAACAGUUGGUAACUUCCUUCCACAGAAGUACCAGUCGAAGGAAAAUUCACAUGCAGAGAUUGAAGAAGCAGUUAAGGCUCGAUCGAAGGGAAAUGAUGAGAAGAUUGAAUCAACUGCGAGGAGAUUACAAUUUUCUGAAGUAAUUGAACCAGCAAAAUCAUUACCAAUAGCUGUUGAAGUUGUUGAACCAGCAAAAUCAGUACCAACAGCUGCGGAAGUUGUCAGAGGUAAUAGAGAUGUGCAGAUGGGUAAGACUCUCUCCUUUGUUCCCCCUACUAUGCGAGAUGGAAAAAAAAUUGUUAAGAUCAGUGAAGAGGAUUUGAAACCACA
rnacentral:lncRNA from 1 species